AGGACAAAUACAGAAUGUGAGGUCCCAUUCCAGCCAAUGGAAACCAGACACAGCAGUAGGGUGGAUGCGUCAGGUUAUAAAUAACCCUGUCUCCUUUGUUCGGUGUACUCUUGUGGCAAAACUGCUGGUGAAUGUACCCUUUCUGUAGAGAAUAAAAAUGGCCUUGCUGAGAAAAUUAAAUGUAUGUUCAAGUGCUAUUUCUUUGUGGCACCAGGGAACAAGCAUUUCAAACA
rnacentral:lncRNA from 10 species